UCUUGUAGAAGGCUGAGAGGAGACCACUUAUUGUAGGAGCUCGAUCGAAGGUCGGUUGUCGUGGGAGCUCGAAGUAGCGACCUGGCCAGUGGGUCCUAUCCCAUUGUAGAAGCUCGUCUGGGAUCCGACUACGAAGAAGCUCGACUGAAGUCUACCUGUAAUAGAAGUUCGGAAGAAAUAUGUUUACAGUAGAGGCUCGAAUGAAAUUUACUUACAGUAGAUAUCCGGGGU
rnacentral:lncRNA from 1 species